rnacentral:rRNA from 1 species
UCGACCUAGUUGCCAGCAUUCAGUUGGGCACUCUAAGGUGACUGCCGGCUAAAAGUCGGAGGAAGGUGGGGAUGACGUCAAUCAUCAUGCCCUUAUGACCUGGGCUACACACGUGCUACAAUGGGCGGUACAAAGAGUCGCGAACCCGCGAGGGGGAGCCAAUCCCAAAAAGCCGCUCUCAGUUCGGAUUGCAGGCUGCAACUCGCCUGCAUGAAGCCGGAAUCGCUAGUAAUCGCGGAUCAGCAUGCCGCGGUGAAUACGUUCCCGGGCCUU